GUCCAACUAGCUCAGUUGGUAGAGAAUCUGCCUGCAAUGCAGGAGACCUGGGUUUGAUCCAUGGGUUGGGAA
rnacentral:tRNA from 1 species